CUUGUGCCCUUGGCAAUCGUCGCUGUCUGCGUUUAAAACAAGAAACUAGUAAAUCGACCUGUAUAGUGACAACGGAAACUUGCAGGGCCAGUGUCAGUGCAUUCGCCACCGUUUAGACAAGGCUCUUCCAAACACUCGUCGUAAUCUAAGGUACCACCGUGUUGGCAUGGGUUGGACUCGCAUUCGUCGAUAGAGUCAACCUGAAUAAAAGAACCGACUUUAUGGGCAGCAUUCUAUUAUAUAUAUAUAGCCUUUCUAAGGUUCAAUGUCUAAUUAAAAUGUUCCAGCGAGAUUU